rnacentral:tRNA from 1 species
GCCUCCGUGGCACAAUCGGCUAGCGCGUUCGGCUGUUAACCGAAAGGUUGGUGGUUCGAGCCCACCCGCGGGCG